rnacentral:rRNA from 1 species
AGUGAACGCUGGCGGUAGGCCUAACACAUGCAAGUCGAACGGCAGCACAGUAAGAGCUUGCCCUUACGGGUGGCGAGUGGCGGACGGGUGAGGAAUACAUCGGAAUCUACUUUUUCGUGGGGGAUAACGUAGGGAAACUUACGCUAAUACCGCAUACGACCUACGGGUGAAAGCAGGGGAUCUUCGGACCUUGCGCGAUUGAAUGAGCCGAUGUCGGAUUAGCUAGUUGGCGGGGUAAAGGCCCACCAAGGCGACGAUCCGUAGCUGGUCUGAGAGGAUGAUCGGCCACACUGGAACUGAGACACGGUCCAGACUCCUACGGGAGGCAGCAGUGGGGAAUAUUGGACAAUGGGCGCAAGCCUGAUCCAGCCAUACCGCGUGGGUGAAGAAGGCCUUCGGGUUGUAAAGCCCUUUUGUUGGGAAAGAAAAGCAGCAGGUUAAUACCCCGCUGUUCUGACGGUACCCAAAGAAUAAGCACCGGCUAACUUCGUG